rnacentral:rRNA from 1 species
CCUACGGGUGGCAGCAGUGGGGAAUAUUGGACAAUGGGCGAAAGCCUGAUCCAGCCAUGCCGCGUGUGUGAAGAAGGCCUUCGGGUUGUAAAGCACUUUCAGUGGGGAAGAAAGCCUUGGGGCUAAUACCCUCGAGGAAGGACAUCACCCACAGAAGAAGCACCGGCUAACUCCGUGCCAGCAGCCGCGGUAAUACGGAGGGUGCGAGCGUUAAUCGGAAUCACUGGGCGUAAAGCGCGCGUAGGCGGUCUGAUAAGCCGGUUGUGAAAGCCCCGGGCUCAACCUGGGAACGGCAUCCGGAACUGUCAGGCUAGAGUGCAGGAGAGGAAGGUAGAAUUCCCGGUGUAGCGGUGAAAUGCGUAGAGAUCGGGAGGAAUACCAGUGGCGAAGGCGGCCUUCUGGACUGACACUGACGCUGAGGUGCGAAAGCGUGGGUAGCAAACAGGAUUAGAUACCCCGGUAGUC